UCAGGACGAACGCUGGCGGCGUGCUUAACACAUGCAAGUGGAGCGACGAAGCGGACUUCGGUCCGUGGCAGAGCCGCGAACGGGUGAGUAACACGUGGGUAACCUACCCCGAUGACCGGGACAACCCGAGGAAACUCGGGCUAAUACCGGAUGUUCUGCACUCUCGUAAGGGAGUUCAGCAAAGAUAGCUUCGGCCUUCGCAUCGGGACGGGCCCGCGGCCCAUUAGCUUGUUGGUGGGGUAACGGCCUACCAAGGCUUCGAUGGGUAGCUGGUCUGAGAGGACGAUCAGCCACACUGGGACUGAGACACGGCCCAGACUCCUACGGGAGGCAGCAGUGGGGAAUCUUGCGCAAUGCGCGAAAGCGUGACGCAGCAACGCCGCGUGGGGGAAGAAGGCCUUCGGGUUGUAAACCCCUUUCAGUUGGGACGAAGCUUCCAGUGUUAAUAGCGCUGUGGAGUGACGGUACCUUCAGAAGAAGCCCCGGCUAACUACGUGCCAGCAGCCGCGGUAAUACGUAGGGGGCAAGCGUUGUCCGGAAUCAUUGGGCGUAAAGCGCGUGUAGGCGGUCCGGUAAGUCCGCUGUGAAAGUCGGGGGCUCAACCCUCGGAUGCCGGUGGAUACUGUCGGGCUUGAGUACGGAAGAGGCGAGUGGAAUUCCUGGUGUAGCGGUGAAAUGCGCAGAUAUCAGGAGGAACACCAAUUGCGAAGGCAGCUCGCUGGGACGUACUGAC
rnacentral:rRNA from 1 species